ensembl:lncRNA
UGGACUCCUGAGAAAACACAUCCACUCAGGUUCUUUAAGAAUUUAUCUCUCUUUGCUAACUGAGGCUUGGCUCAUGUGAGAAAUACAUUGUAUAGAAGACAGCCAUUGUUCGUCAGCUGAGAGGUUUUACUCCAGAUUCCCAAAUUCUCCAAACUUUUCUCACCUAUCAACUAGUCAUCAUUUGCAAGGCUCCUCCUUUAGAGAUCCCAAAAGACUCUCCUGCCUUUCAGGUCCCUUCAUUAAUGAUCUACAAUGUCCAUUUCUGAUAGACUUUUUUCUUUUUUUUUUUUUUUUCUUUAAAGAGACGGGGUUUUACCACGUUGGCCAGGAUGGUCUUGAUCGCCUGAUCUUGUGAUCCACCCGCCUCCACCUCCCAAAGUACUAGGAUUACAGGCAUAAGACACUGCACCCGGACUACAGACAUUUAAAAUACCUUUCAAAGCUUUAUGUCACCAAUUUAUGAAGAGUGGAGUCUUGCUUUUGUCACCCAGGCUGGAGUGCAAUGGCGUGAUCUCUGCUCACUUCAACCUCUGCCUCCUGGGUUCAAGUGGUUCUCCAGCCUCAGCCUCCCAAGUAUCUGGGAUUACAGGUACCUGACACCAUGCCAGGCUAAUUUUUGUAUUUUUGGUAGAGACAGGGUUUCACCAUGUUGACCAGGUUGGUCUCAAACAAAAAUUGUAUAUAUCUUAGGUAUACAACAUGAUGUUUUGAUAUAUGUAUAUACUAUGCAAUAAUUAAAUCAAGCUAAUUAAAACAUAAAAUAAUAUAAAAAUAAAAUAGUUCAGUAAAACUCUAUGGAAAAAUUACUAGAUCUCUGUGGUAGGAAGAAUAAUAUCCCCCACCAAAAGAUGUUUACAGAGUAAACCCUGAACUCAAAAACAUCACAUUGUAUGGUAGAAAAAAAUAUAGCAGAUAUGAUUAAAUAUUUUUAGACUGGGAUUAUCCUAGAUUGUCUACGUGAGCCCUACACAAUUACAAGGGCCCUAUAAUUGGAGAAAGGUGGUUAGAAUAAGAGAAACACUGGGAAAUGCUAUAGUAUUGACAAAAGGAGGUGGUAGAGGCCAUGAACCAAAGAAUGGAGAAAGGAACUAGAAUCUAAAAAACACAAUCAAGUAGAUUCUCCUCUAGAACCAACAGAGGGAACAAAGCCCUGCCAAUGCCUUAACUUCCCCUGAGAUAAACCCAAUUUAGAUUCCUGACCGUUAGACUCUAAUAUAAUAAAUUUGGGUUGUUGUAAACAACUAAAUGAGUAGCAAUUUGUUACAGUAUUAAUAGAAAACCCAAAACAUCCGUAUGCUAAAAGCAUAUACACUAAGAAAAUCAAGUAAUUACCCAUUAAGUGGAGAGGAGUAUCACAUUUAUGGAUUGAAAGAUUCAAAUCUAUGGGUUUAUAGAGUUCUAUUGAUCUAUAACAUUAAUGCAACUGCAACCAAUGUCUCAGAAAAAUAUUUGCAGAUAUUAGCAUGAUGAUUCUAAAGCUGAUAUAAAAGGCAAAUAAACAAGAAUAUGCAAAACCAUCUGAAAGAGCAUCACAAAGUUGGAGAAUUUACGCUUCUAUUUUCUGUAUUUACUACAUAACUAGAAUAGUCAACACACUGUGCUUCUGGAGAAAGGAUGGACCAAUACAAUAGAAGGACCAGAAAUAUCCAUAUAUGUCCUCCAUUCACUUUGGCUAAGCUGCAAAGUCAACCCAAUAAAGAAAUAACAGUAUUUAAACAUUAAGAUUCUGUGAAAUGUGAUAUACAUAUGAAAAAUAUGAACCUUAAUCCUUAUUUCAAACCAUAUACAGAAAUUAACAUAAUUUUAGGCCAAAAUGUCAAAGUAUAAAAUUUUAUGAAAAAAAUGAGAAAAUAUUUUUGACCAUUAAAAUAUUACAUAUGAUAUCAAAAUAUAAAAAUAAAAUUGACUCAAAAUCAGUUGACAAAAUAGACUUUGAAAAAAUUAAAAUUUGUCUUCAAAUAAGAUUAAUGAGAUAAAAGACAAACCACAGAAUACUUAAAAUAUAUGUAAUAUGUCAAAUGACAUAUAUCCAGCAUAAACAACUACAUAUAAUUUAGCACUUUUGUGUAUACCAAAAGUUUUACUAGUUACUUUGUAAAAACUAUCAGUGUGUUUAAAUAAGAUGUCAGUUCUGUGAACAUGUUUUCAGUCUGUUUUUAUCUGAGUUGUAGUCCUAGCACAUGAGGAAAACCUAAUUUAAUGGUUUAGUAUUCAUUCUGGACUUUCCUUGAUAUAUUAUAAUUUUGUCACAUUGUUAUUGUGAAUGUAUUAGUUUAUCCUCAUAAUUUAUAAGAAAUUAACAUUCAUUAGAGUUAGGAGUCAGGAACAUGGAAAGGGAAGAAUUCUAACUGAACAGGCUGAUUAUAUAUAGAUUUAGGGAGCUCAAAAGAUGAAAAAUAACUGCCAAAAACAAAUUUUAUACUUUUCCUAGUUAUUCUUUUUUUUUUUCUAUUUUUUUUUAAUUGCAUUUUAGGUUUUGGGGUACAUUUGCAGAUCAUGCAAGAUAGUUGCAUAGGUACACACAUGGCAGUGUGUUUUGCUGCCAUCUUCCCCUUCACCCACAUUUGGCAUUUCUCCCCAGGCUAUCCCUCUCCCCUUCCCCCCACCUGCUGUCCC